rnacentral:lncRNA from 1 species
GUAUCAUCAACUGUUAUGAAUGGGAUGUGGAGCAUGUGUAUACUUUGUAUCACAACUGUCUGAAUGGAAUGUGGAGCAUGUGUAAUCAUUUGUACUAUCAACUGUCUCAUGAUGGGAAUGUGGAGCAUGUGUAAUAAUGUAUAUCAACUGUUGAAUGGGAAUGUGAGCAUGUGUAAUCAUUGUAUCAUCAACUGUCUAUGAAUGGGAAUGUGGAGCAUGUGUAACAUUUGUAUUCUACAACUGUCUGAAUGGGAAUGUUGGAGCAUGUGUAAUCAUUUGUAUCAUCAACUGUCUGGAUGGAAUGUGGAGCAUGUGUAAUCAUUUGUUCAUCAACUGUCUGAAUGGAGUGAGCAUGUGUAAUCAUUUGUAUUCAUCAACGUCUAUGAAUGGGAAUGUGGAGCAUGUGUAAUUUUGUAUCAUCAACUGUCUAUGAAUGGGAUGUGGGCAUGUGUAAUCAUUUGUAUCAUCAACUGUCUAUGAAUGGGAAUGUGGAGCAUGUGUAAUCAUUUGUAUCAUCAACUGUCUGAAUGGGAAUGUGGAGCAUGUGUAAUCAUUUGUAUCAUCAACUGUCUGAAGGGAAUGUGGAGCAUGUGUGUAAUACUUGUAUCAUCAACUGCGUCUGAUGUGGGCAUGUGUUCGUUUGUAUCAUCACACUGUCUGAAUGGGAAUGUGGAGCAUGUGUAAUCAUUUGUAUCAACACUGUCUAUGAAUGGGAAUGUGGAGCAUGUGUUAAUUUUGUAUCAUCAACUGUCUGAAUGGGAAUGUGAGCAUGUGUAUCAUUUUUUCAUCAACUGCGUUGAAUGGGAAUGUGGAGCAUGUUGUAAUUGUUUGUAUCAUCAAAGUUAUGAAUGGGAAUGUGGAGCAUGUGUAUAUUUGUAUCAUCAACUGUCUGAAUGGGAAUGUGGA